ACGGGAGGCAGCAGUGGGGAAUAUUGCACAAUGGGGGAAACCCUGAUGCAGCGACGCCGCGUGAGUGAAGAAGUAUUUCGGUAUGUGAAGCUCUAUCAGCAGGGAAGAAAAUGACGGUACCUGACUAAGAAGCCCCGGCUAACUACGUGCCAGCAGCCGCGGUAAUACGUAGGGGGCAAGCGUUAUCCGGAUUUACUGGGUGUAAAGGGAGCGUAGACGGUAAUGCAAGUCAGAAGUGAAAGCCCAGGGCUCAACCUUGGGACUGCUUUUGAAACUGUAAUACUAGAGUGCAGGAGAGGUAAGUGGAAUUCCUAGUGUAGCGGUGAAAUGCGUAGAUAUUAGGAGGAACACCAGUGGCGAAGGCGGCUUACUGGACUGUAACUGACGUUGAGGCUCGAAAGCGUGGGGAGCAAACAGGAUUAGAUACCCUGGUA
rnacentral:rRNA from 1 species